rnacentral:pre_miRNA from 1 species
UUUGUACUUCCUCCGACCGGAAAUACUUGUCGGAGAAAUGGAUGUAUCUAGAUUUUUUUAGUGCUAAAUACAUCCAUUUUUAUCCAUUUCUUCGACAAGUAUUUUCGGAUAAAGGGGAUGCAAC